AGCAGCCGCGGUAAUUCCAGCUCCAAUAGCGUAUAUUAAAGUUGUUGCAGUUAAAAAGCUCGUAGUUGAAUUUCGAAAUCAAUUUGUCGGUCGUGCCUCGGUACGUACUGGCAUUAUUGAUUUCUCCCUUCUGAAGAACCGCGAUGUCAUUAAUUUGGUGUCGUGGGAAAUCAGGACUGUUAACUUUGAAAAAAUUAGAGUGUUUAAAGCAGGCUCGCGCUUGAAUACAUUAGCAUGGAAUAAUGAAAUAGGACGUUUGAUUUUAUUUGUUGGUUUCUAGGAUCGACGUAAUGAUUAAUAGGGAUAGUUGGGGGCAUUAGUAUUCAAUUGUCAGAGGUGAAAUUCUUGGA
rnacentral:rRNA from 1 species